UGUCCAUACCUAACAAGGACUCACAGACAGCAAGUGCUAAGGAAAUUGUCCCAUCAGUACUCCAGCCAGUGCCAAGCUGUUUGAGCCCACAGGAGAACAAUUGACAAAGGAAACCCUUGCACACAGCCUAACCAGGAAUCUCCCCACUUGGGGAGAACAAGAAACUUCCUUUCUCCAGCAAAUUCUAGAUUUCUGGGAGCCAGUGGCUACUGCAUGACUCCACUUAUUUUCCACUCUCCAAACAUUCUGAGUUAUGCAGAUGGUCAGGAUACAACACCGGUGUCACUCUUUGGGAGGAUGGCCUGCUUUCCAUGUCCAAGGGAACUGCCUACAGGAUCCAGUCAUUCAAGAGACUGACUAGAGCCGAAUCAGUCUGGGCUGUCUCUUCUGGCGAUUAUCUGUGACGGCACUGCUAGGAAAUCAGAAAAUCCUAUCCCCCAACCACCGUCAGUGGACAAGCAGCCAUGCCCCACCCUGUGCUGCCCAUUCUCCCACAUGCCAACCUGAAGGCUGCACCCAUAGUUUUAAAGAAUAGACUGUGAGUUAAUAUGUUUUCUCCAUCUCUUUCCUGACCACUAAGUCCUUACAGGCUAUAUGUUCCUGAGGACAUAGCUCUCAGAGCCACUAAACUUCGUAUGUGUUUAUGUGCAUAUGAAAUAAUCACGAGUUACUAGGAUUUGUCAGUUACUGCUCUAAAAGUAACCUCCAGCAUAUAAAAGACAUUUUUGGGGAUGAAGAUGUUUAAGGAAAUAAUAACAGAGGAUAUGAAUUGGCUACUAGGACACUAACUUCAGAGACCUAUACAGUGACGACAGCAUAAGGAUGACAGGAUUCAAAGCAUGAGGCUUACAGCAUCGGACGGUUAUCUGUUCUAAUCUUUAAUUGCUGGGUACAUUUGGAAUGUCACCAGGCAACUCUGAGCUUUUGCUAACCUCUUGUUAGUCACAAUCCCAGAGUUUUCCAGUGCCAACUGUGGACAUCAGUUGCUUUGUUCCAUGUAACUCUCAACUUUGUGUGCAUCUUUCCACACUUACAUUCCAAAUAAAGUAAGUCUGGGAGGCUACAUUGAGGGAGAUGCUUCCAAAAUAUGACUCCUUCUCAUCUUGAAAAGAUGAACAUGACCUCAGCCUUGUGGGCACCAAAAUCCAACUAAGAAGUAUGCUACGAUCUAUUGAAGAUGACCAGUGGUUGGGUGUAGGAUUUUCUAGCAGUGGCACUAAGAAACAAGCUUCCCCCAGGAAGGAAAGGAGUCUUAGCAGCUGUAGCUGCGCAGUUGCACAGAGGACUAAUCUCUACCACAGUGCUGCAGCAGGGUCUAGAGCUGCCUCACCACCUCAGCUUCUCUGCCCACUUCUCUGUGGUCCAAUCUGAAUUCUCACCUAGGUCACCUCUCAAAGCUGAGCCAUUAUGAGAACAUCAAAAUCAUUCUGUAAUUUCAUGAGGAGUCCUGUUCGUGAGGAAAGUGGAGCCGACAAUUUUCUGGGCAGUAAGGAUUGUGUUCCAAAUUACUGAAACCAGAGUCAUCUAAUAACGAACAAUGCAUGUUAUUUUUUGAAACCUGGGGCAAUUCUGGGGCUAAUUUUCCUUUGUGUUUGCACUAAUAAAGUCCAGAAGCAAAGCUGA